GACAUGGCCUUGGACCUUUCAUCACAUGAACCAAUGAUGGCUGGCCCUCCUGGCACCUUGGGGACAAGGCCUGGAAGCUGGCCUCCUGUGUAUUCCUGGAAUAACAACAGAGUGGCCUCCAAAGAUCACAGUAAUAUAUCCUGAAUGGACAGAAGCGGCUUUAAUUAGAGGAAAUCAUAGAAACUGUGCUCAAUUUUCGGGCUCCCUUGACUGGUUAAUCAGCCGAUUGGAAAGACUGGAAGCUUCUUCUGUCUCCUCCGGUAUCAACCAGCAUUAACUCUGCAGUCACCUGGGGGCCCUGUGCUGCCAUUUCCCUCUUAGAGAGCAAUGUGUCUGCUAGAAUGGAUGUACUGAUUUCCUGGAUUGCCAAAGGCCAAGAGAGAUGGAUUUUGCUGUCUGAAGCCCCAGUUCCUCAGCUCGCUGUCUCCUGCAUUAUGCUCUGAAGGCAGAAGCCAACGUUCAGUUCUGAAUCCCUGACACCUGAAAGAGUGCCUGGCACUCCUGAGAAGUGUGAUGAAUGGAAAUGGGUUACAAUUCUCAGGUAGUAAAUAAGAACUGGGUCUUUGGUGUCAGGCUGUUAGAGUUUGAAUGCUGUCUUCAUGACUUUAGCUUCUAUAUCCUCAUCUGCAGGAGAGGAAAAUUAACUGUUGGGUGGUUUAUUAUCAUCAACAAGAUAACGAAUGUCAGCUAUUUAAGACUAUCUGACAAAUAGUGAGGUCUCAAUAAAUGAUAGCUAUUACUGUUUUUAAACAGGGUUAUUGAGGUAUAACUGAAGAAGAUUAAAUUGCACAUAUUUGAAGUGUGCAUUUUACAAGUUUUGAUAUAUGUAUAUAUAGCCAUGAGACCAACACCACAAUCAAGAUAAUUAACAGACCCAUUCCCUCCAAAAGUUUCCUUAUAUCCCUUUGUAAUCCAGCUGCUGCUCCCCCCACACACAAAUUCCCUCCCCAAGGAACUACUAAUCUUCUUUCUGUCAAUGUGGGUUAACUGAAAUUUUCUAGAAUUUUUUUAUAAGUGAAAUCAUACAGUAUGUACUGUUUUUUUGUGUGUGUUUUUUCUCUCAACAUAACUAUUUUAAGAGUCGUACAUGUUGUAUCAAUAGUUCAUUAUUUUUUAUUGCUGAGUAAUGUUCCAUCCCAUGAAUAUACCACAAUUUGUUUUUUCAUUUACCUGUUGAUGGACAGAUGUAUCAUUCUCAGUUUUUGCCUGUUAAAAAUAAAGCUGUUGUGCAUGAGAAUAUAGUCAAUGGUUCUGUAACAUCUUUCUAUGUUGACAGAUAGUAACC